rnacentral:rRNA from 1 species
GGUUCAAAAUAUUAUCCGGUAUUAGCUCCGGUUUCCCGAAGUUAUCCCAGUCUUAUAGGUAGGUUAUCCACGUGUUACUCACCCGUCCGCCGCUAACAUCAGAGAAGCAAGCUUCUCGUCCGUUCGCUCGACUUGCAUGUAUUAGGCACGCCGCCAGCGUUCAUCCGGAAUUAUUGGGCGUAAAGCGCGCGUAGGCGGUUUUUUAAGUCUGAUGUGAAAGCCCACGGCUCAACCGUGGAGGGUCAUUGGAAACUGGAAAACUUGAGUGCAGAAGAGGAAAGUGGAAUUCCAUGUGUAGCGGUGAAAUGCGCAGAGAUAUGGAGGAACACCAGUGGCGAAGGCGACUUUCUGGUCUGUAACUGACGCUGAUGUGCGAAAGCGUGGGGAUCAAACAGGAUUAGAUACCCUGGUAGUCCACGCCGUAAACGAUGAGUGCUAAGUGUUAGGGGGUUUCCGCCCCUUAGUGCUGCAGCUAACGCAUUAAGCACUCCGCCUGGGGAGUACGACCGCAAGGUUGAAACUCAAAGGAAUUGACGGGGACCCGCACAAGCGGUGGAGCAUGUGGUUUAAUUCGAAGCAACGCGAAGAACCUUACCAAAUCUUGACAUCCUUUGACAACUCUAGAGAUAGAGCUUUCCCCUUCGGGGGACAAAGUGACAGGUGGUGCAUGGUUGUCGUCAGCUCGUGUCGUGAGAUGUUGGGUUAAGUCCCGCAACGAGCGCAACCCUUAAGCUUAGUUGCCAUCAUUAAGUUGGGCACUCUAAGUUGACUGCCGGUGACAAACCGGAGGAAGGUGGGGAUGACGUCAAAUCAUCAUGCCCCUUAUGAUUUGGGCUACACACGUGCUACAAUGGACAAUACAAAGGGCAGCGAAACCGUGAGGUCAAGCAAAUCCCAUAAAGUUGUUCUCAGUUCGGAUUGUAGUCUGCAACUCGACUACAUGAAGCUGGAAUCGCUAGUAAUCGUAGAUCAGCAUGCUACGGUGAAUACGUUCCCGGGUCUUGUACACACCGCCCGUCACACCACGAGAGUUUGUAACACCCGAAGCCGGUGGAGUAACCUUUUAGGAGCUAGCCGUCGAAGGUGGGACAAAUGAUUGGGGUGAAGUCGUAACAAGGUAGCCGUAUCGGAAGGUGCGGCUG